GCNGUAGUCAUAUGCUUGUCUCAAAGCUUAAGCCAUGCAAGUCUCAGUACAGACUAUAUUAAAGUGAAACCGCAAAAGGCUCAGUAAACCAGUUUUAAUUUACUAGAGUUAACUUGACUGUGCUUGGAUAACUGUGGUAAUUCUAGAGCUAAUACAUGCAACAAAGCCGUGACCAUUCGUGGUCAGGGCGCUUUUAUUAGACCAAGACCAAUCGCCCGGCCAGUCCGGGCGUUAAGUUGAGGAACCUAGAUAACACAGCAGAUCGCAUGGUCUUUGUACCGGCGACCUAUCUUUCAAAUGCCUGACUUAUCAACUGACGAUGGUAGACUCUGUGUCUACCAUGGCUGUUACGGGUAACGGGGAAUCAGGGUUCGAUUCCGGAGAGGGAGCCUGAGAAACGGCUACCACAUCCAAGGAAGGCAGCAGGCACGCAAAUUACCCACUCCCGGAACGGGGAGGUAGUGACAAAAAAUAACGAUACGGGACUCGAUAUGAGGCCUCGUAAUCGGAAUGAGUACACUCUAAAUCCUUUAACAAAAAUCUAUUGGAGGGCAAGUCUGGUGCCAGCAGCCGCGGUAAUUCCAGCUCCAAUAGCGUAUAUUAAAGUUGUUGCGGUUAAAAAGCUCGUAGUUGGUUCUGCGUCCCGCGCUGUCGGUACACCGUUUGUCGGUGACACUGGCAUGACGCGGGAUGUCCUGUCGGUGGCGGCGGAGACCAUAUCGCCGUCGGCUAACACCGCGGCGUGUUGGCCUUCUGUCGCCGGCUUUAUCCUACCGCGGUGCUCUUCACUGAGUGUCGAGGUAGGCCGACACGUUUACUUUGAACAAAUUAGAGUGCUUAAAGCAGGCAAAAAUCUCUGCCAGAAUAGUGGUGCAUGGAAUAAUGGAACAGGACCUUGGUUCUAUUCUGUUGGUCUCCGGAACACAAGGUAAUGAUCAAUGUGGACAGGCGGGGGCAUUCGUAUUGCGGCGUUAGAGGUGAAAUUCUUGGAUCGUCGCAAGACGCACUAGAGCGAAAGCAAUUGCCAAGUAUGUCUUAAUUGAUCAAGAACGAAAGUUAGAGGUUCGAAGGCGAUCAGA
rnacentral:rRNA from 1 species